CUAGUCAGAUCCAAGAGGCGUAAAUGUACCCCUCACUCACUUUGCUAUUCUAUUUAAAGUUAGCAUUUCUGUUUUCGUAAGUUUUAUUAUUUUCCUAUAGUAAGGAAGGCUCCACCCUAUACUGACAGAGCCAGCAUCUCCUACUUAAAUUAGUCCCUGAUCUAGGGGAUGCAUGUCCCUCUGCGUUAAUGCUCCUUCAGUUUUGUUUCAUUUAAAAAAAAAAAAAAAACUUGAUCUGUGGUAUAUUUUGGUAACACGUUGCAGUUAUUGUAUUUUACGC